rnacentral:misc_RNA from 1 species
GAUGAAGAACGCAGCGAAAUGCGAUAAGUAGUGUGAAUUGCAGAAUUCAGUGAAUCAUCGAAUCUUUGAACGCACAUUGCGGCCUUUGGUAUUCCAAAGGGCAUGCCUGUUCGAGCGUCAUUUGUACCCUCAAGCUUUGCUUGGUGUUGGGCGUCUUGUCUCUAGCUUUGCUGGAGACUCGCCUUAAAGUAAUUGGCAGCCGGCCUACUGGUUUCGGAGCGCAGCACAAGUCGCACUCUCUAUCAGCAAAGGUCUAGCAUCCACUAAGCCUUUUUUUCAACUUUUGACCUCGGAUCAGGUAGGGAUACCCGCUGAACUUAAGCAUAUCAAUAAGCGGAGGA